CUUUCACAGAUCACAAAUUUCACUGAGAGUAAUUCAUCAUACCAGAAGAAAAAACCAUAAAAGUGCAAGGGACAGUCAUAAUACCCACGAAGAUGUAACAGGGGGCACCCAAAUUAAUAUUCCUUAUUCAUCGAUUCGUCGAAACGCCAGACAACCGAGAAAGGAAAUCUCCCAGGAACCCCAAAAAUCUCAGAUUCUUUGCUUGCUUCCUUUUUCAUCCUGCUUCGUUUUCGGGUUGGGAAUGGUGGGAUGGUUUUUUCGUAAGAUGGUCGAGUUCAGAUCUGAGGACGAUCAUUCUUGUUAACGCAACAAUUAUAUAGUUAGUGUUAAGAGAGUAAACACAAGAAUCUUGGUCGAGGACUUUGCUAGAUAUCCUCUGCCCAAAUUUUCCCCUGCUUUUAAUUAAGCCUAUAAUGUUUCAUUUCGUCCUUAUCUAUAAGGAAUGCUUUAAUACACUGUAUCUGGACUCCAAUCAUGUGAAAAUACUUCCUUAUCCACAAAAACAGGUGGAUAAGAUGAUUGAUGAUAUCACAACCUACAGGCUUGCUAUCCUGAGAUUGGCGUGUCUAGUCAUGCGGGAAAGCACAGUGGCUUGUUCCAUAUUAAGCGGGGAACUGAAGUGGUUAGUUUGUUUCUAUAACAAAGUUAUUGAAGGAAAUAUAGCAACACAGUUCAAUGUUUACCUUGAGCAAGUUGUUACUUCUCUCUCCACUUUUCGAGAGCAGACAUUUGAGUGACAUGAUAGUCCGGACCCUGGACUGCCAUGAGCAUAAAAUUCUUGAACGUUGCUGUAAACAUGGCAUGAGUGAGAUCAGAAAUUUCCAAAAGAAAGCAGAGGCAUGGAUGUGUGACGGAGGUAGAGAAGUUUUCCAGGUUAAAUAGUGCAGUUGCCAGUUGGUGCCGAGGAAUGAGAAUGUUAAAAGACAUUAUAAAUUAUUGUGACUGCUACAAUGUCAUCGCAUCUGCUAAAUAUGGCACGUAAUGUCAACUCCUUGGGCUUAUCUCUUUGCCUGCAAGGUUCUUCUGCUCAGUCAAAUUCGUGGGUUCAGGGAAAGCUUGCAAUACUCCUUCCUUUUUUUUAAUUUUACUCGUAGCCUAGGCUUUCCUUACAAAAAAAGAGACAUACACACCCUCGUUGACACACAACUGUAUCGAUAUUGGGUUAGAACUGACAUUAUUACUGGGACAUCUAACUGUUGACAACAACACUCCUUCCUUGUGCCGAGGGGAAUGUGGAAUAAAAUC